UGGCUCAGAAUGAACGCUGGCGGCAUGGAUUAGGCAUGCAAGUCGAACGAGAAAGCGCCUUCGGGCGCGAGUAAAGUGGCGCAAGGGUGAGUAACACGUGAGGAACCUGCCCCCGAGCCCGGAACAAGCCUGGGAAACCGGGUCUGAAACCGGAUGAGGCCCCCGGCCGCAUGGCCGGCGGGCCAAAUAUUCAUAGCUUGGGGAUGGCCUCGCGUCCCAUUAGCUUGUUGGCGGGGUGACGGCCCACCAAGGCGACGACGGGUAGGUGGUCUGAGAGGAUGGUCACCCACACUGGGACUGAGACACUGCCCAGACUCCUACGGGAGGCUGCAGUCGAGAAUCUUCCGCAAUGGGCGCCAAGCCUGACGGAGCGAUGCCGCGUGAGGGACGAAGGCCCUAGGGUUGUAAACCUCUGUCGUCCGGGACGAAACCAAUGACGGUACCGGGCAAGAAAGCCACGGCUAACUACGUGCCAGCCGCCGC
rnacentral:rRNA from 1 species